UGUUGAUGUACCAAGGGUACCAAAGAAGAGAACGUUCAAGAAGUUCAGUUUCAAAGGUAUCGAUCUCGAUGCUCUCUUGGAUAUGUCCAAUGAUGAACUCGUCAAGCUCUUUCCUGCUCGUGCUCGUCGAAGGUUUCAGAUGGGUUUGAAGAGGAAGCCAAUGGCUCUGAUCAAGAAAUUACGCAAGGCUAUGAGUAUUCUUCUAUUUUCCUUCUUUUUCAACUAUAAGGAAUUAACUGAUACUUUAGAGUUUUUUUAAUUUG